CCUACGGGGGGCAGUAGUGAGGAAUAUUGGUCAAUGGGCGGAAGCCUGAACCAGCCAAGUCGCGUGAGGGAUUAAGGCCCUGCGGGUCGUAAACCUCUUUUGCCGGGGAGCAGAGUUCCGGACGUGUCCGGGCCGGGAGAGUACCCGGAGAAAAAGCAUCGGCUAACUCCGUGCCAGCAGCCGCGGUAAUACGGAGGAUGCGAGCGGUAUCCGGAUUUAUUGGGUUAAAGGGGUGCGUAGGCGGGCAUUUAAGCCGGCGGUCAAAUGUCGGGGCUCAACCCCGGCCUGCCGUCGGAACUGGGGGCCUUGAGUGGGCGAGAGGUAUGCGGAAUGCGUGGUGUAGCGGUGAAAUGCAUAGAUAUCACGCAGAACCCCGAUUGCGAAGGCAGCAUACCGGAGCCCUACUGACGCUGAGGCACGAAAGUGUGGGUAUCGAACAGGAUUAGAUACCCCAGUAGUC
rnacentral:rRNA from 1 species